UACGUAGGGGGCAAGCGUUGUCCGGAAUCAUUGGGCGUAAAGAGCGCGUAGGCGGCCCAGUAAGUCCGCUCUGAAAGUCAGGGGCUCAACCCCUGGAUGCGGGUGGAUACUGCUGGGCUAGAGUCCGGAAGAGGCGAGUGGAAUUCCUGGUGUAGCGGUGAAAUGCGCAGAUAUCAGGAGGAACACCGAUGGCGAAGGCAGCUCGCUGGGACGGUACUGACGCUGAGGCGCGAAAGCGUGGGGAGCAAACGGG
rnacentral:rRNA from 1 species